GAUAAUACUGAUGGGCAUGUUAUUUACUUCUGUGAUGAAGCUGCUAGAAUUGCUAGACCGGGCACUAAAAAUAAAAAUAGACCUGUGGUAGGCAUGCCUGUUAUUUCUGUUAAAAUAGGAGAUCAUUGUUAUCAUGGCUUGUGUGAUAUGGGUGCUAGUGCAAGUGCAAUACCUCAUUCCUUAUACAAAGAAAUUAUGCAUGAUAUUGCACCUGCCGAGACAGAAGAAAUUGAUGUUACAAUUAAGCUUGCCAAUAGAGAUACUAUUUCACCAGUUGGGAUUGUUAGAGAUGUUGAACUUGUGUGGGAAAGUUAA
rnacentral:rRNA from 1 species